rnacentral:rRNA from 1 species
UACGUAGGGGCAAGCGUUGUCCGGAAUUAUUGGGCGUAAAGAGCGCGUAGGCGGUCCGAUAAGUCGGCUGUGAAAGUCCAGGGCUCAACCCUGGAAAGCCGGCCGAUACUGUCGGACUAGAGUCCGGAAGAGGCAAGUGGAAUUCCCGGUGUAGCGGUGAAAUGCGCAGAUAUCGGGAGGAACACCAAUGGCGAAGGCAGCUUGCUGGGACGGUACUGACGCUGAGGCGCGAAAGCGUGGGGAGCGAACAGG